GGAGGCCAGAAGUCCCACACAGGUCUCUCACUGGACUAAGAUCAAGAAAAUAAGUUUGCAAACGGUUGUCUUCUAAAGAGAAGAUUAAAGAGUUUGCAGCCAAAACAUCUAUGGAAAAAUUUAAUAUAGAGGUUGCAGAAGCUGUCCCUUGUGGCCCAGGAGAAAGAGAGUUGGCAGAUCAUGGGAUGGUAAAACAUCUGCUCAGGAUGGUAUAUGUCAUUGCCACUCACAUUUCAUUGGCCACGGAAGACGACUGAGUGAAGAUAGAAACUCAGGGAGAGUGCCAAGAAGAGAAUGUGAACACAGAAGACUGGAGUGAUGCAUCUAUAAGCCAAGAAAUGCCAAAGAGUCUGACAAGCCACCAGAAGCCAGGGGGAAGCAAAGAAGGUUCUACUACAGGUUUCUGAGGGCAGAUGGCCGGGCGUUGGGUUCACUAGAUUCCAGAACUAUGAGACAAUACAUUUUGGUUGUUUUAAGCCACCUUAUGUGUAGUACUUUGUUAUGGGAGCCCUGCAAAAUGAAUACGUCGUCUGUCUUCUGCAAUUGAAUUGUAAUAGAAUAGUAAGAGGCAUUUUAUAUUCUUAUUUUGAGUAUGUACAUAUCCUUUCUUUUUCAAAUAUGGUAAGAAAACA